UUUCUUAGAGGAAGUAAAAGUCGUAACAAGGUUUCCGUAGGUGAACCUGCGGAAGGAUCAUUAACCGAGAAGAGGGUCCUCCGGGGCCCAAACUCCCCACCCUUUGUGAACAUACCUUCGUUGCUUUGGCGGGCCGUGGGGCCUUCGGACCCCCCGUCGACUCCGGUGGACGAGCGCCCGUCAGAGACCCCUCCAACUCCGAUAAUUAGCGAAGUCCGAGUCAAAAUAUAAUCGUUAAAACUUUCAACAACGGAUCUCUUGGUUCUGGCAUCGAUGAAGAACGCAGCGAAAUGCGAUAAGUAAUGUGAAUUGCAGAAUUCAGUGAAUCAUCGAAUCUUUGAACGCACAUUGCGCCCUCUGGUAUUCCGGGGGGCAUGCCUGUUCGAGCGUCAUUACACCUCUCAAGCUCAGCUUGGUAUUGGGUGCCGUCCCCCCGGGGGCGCGCCCGAAAGUGAGCGGCGACGCGGUCGGUCUUCAAGCGUAGUAAAACUUCUGUUUCGCUUUCGGAGCCCGGGCGCGCCCGCCGGACAACCCCCAAUUUUGCAGUGGUUGACCUCGGAUCAGGUAGGGAUACCCGCUGAACUUAAGCAUAUCAAUA
rnacentral:rRNA from 1 species